rnacentral:rRNA from 1 species
AGUGAACGCUGGCGGCGUGCCUAACACAUGCAAGUCGAACGAGAAAAUCCUCUUCGGAGGAUAAGUAGAGUGGCAGACGGGUGAGUAAUACAUAGGUAAUCUACCCUUGAGUGGGGGACAACUUACCGAAAGGUGAGCUAAUCCCGCAUGACAUCGCGAUACAUAAGUGUUGUGAUUAAAGGGGGGGAUCCCUUCGGGGACCUCUCGCUUGAGGAUGAGCUUAUGUCCUAUUAGCUUGUUGGUAGGGUAAUGGCCUACCAAGGCUCUGAUGGGUAGCCGAGCUGAGAGGCUGAUCGGCCACACUGGAACUGAUACACGGUCCAGACUCCUACGGGAGGCAGCAGUGGGGAAUUUUGCGCAAUGGGCGAAAGCCUGACGCAGCGACGCCGCGUGAGGGAUGAAGGUCUUCGUGAUCGUAAACCUCUGUC